GAUGAACGCUAGCGGCAGGCCUAACACAUGCAAGUCGAGGGGCAGCAUAUUAUUAGUUUACUAAUGAUGAUGGCGACCGGCGGACGGGUGCGUAACGCGUAUGCAACCUACCUAUAACAGGGGGAUAAUCGAGAGAAAUUUUGUCUAAUACCCCGUAAUAUUAUUAGAGGCAUCUUUAAUAGUUGAAAGAUUAAUUGGUUAUAGCUGGGCAUGCGUAACAUUAGAUAGAUGGUGAGGUAACGGCUCACCAUGUCCACGAUGUUUAGGGGAACUGAGAGGUUAAUCCCCCACACUGGUACUGAGACACGGACCAGACUCCUACGGGAGGCAGCAGUGAGGAAUAUUGGUCAAUGGGCGAGAGCCUGAACCAGCCAUGCCGCGUGCAGGACGACUGCUCUAUGAGUUGUAAACUGCUUUUAUAAUGGAAUAAAACGAGAUACGUGUAUCUUCUUGCAUGUACAUUAUGAAUAAGGAUCGGCUAACUCCGUGCCAGCAGCCGCGGUGAUACGGAGGAUUCGAGCGUUAUCCGGAUUUAUUGGGUUUAAAGGGUGCGUAGGUUGUAAGAUAAGUUAGUGGUCAAAUGUAGUGGCUUAACCAUUUAUUCGCCAUUAAUACUGUUUUACUAGAGUAUGGAUGCAGCAGGCGGAAUGUGUAGUGUAGCGGUGAAAUGCAUAGAUAUUACACAGAACACCGAUUGCGAAGGCAGCUUGCUAAUCCAUAACUGACACUGAUGCACGAAAGCGUGGGUAGCGAACGGGAUUAGAUACCCCGGUAGUCCACGCAGUAAACGAUGAUAACUCGUUGUCGGCGAUAUAUAGUCGGUGACCAAGCGAAAGCGAUAAGUUAUCCACCUGGGGAGUACGACCGCAAGGUUGAAACUCAAAGGAAUUGACGGGGGCCCGCACAAGCGGAGGAACAUGUGGUUUAAUUCGAUGAUACGCGAGGAACCUUACCCGGGCUUGAAAGUUAGUGACGAAUUCAGAGAUGGAUUUUCCCUUCGGGGCACGAAACUAGGUGCUGCAUGGUUGUCGUCAGCUCGUGCCGUGAGGUGUCGGGUUAAGUCCCAUAACGAGCGCAACCCCUGUUGAUAGUUACCAGCAUUUAAGGUGGGGACUCUAUCAAGACUGCCGGUGUAAGCCGAGAGGAAGGUGGGGAUGACGUCAAAUCAGCACGGCCCUUACGUCCGGGGCGACACACGUGUUACAAUGGCCGGUACAGAAGGCAGCUACACAGCGAUGUGAUGCGAAUCUCAAAAGCCGGUCUCAGUUCGGAUUGGAGGCUGGAACUCGCCUCCAUGAAGUUGGAUUCGCUAGUAAUCGCAUAUCAGCCAUGAUGCGGUGAAUACGUUCCCGGGCCUUGUACACACCGCCCGUCAAGCCAUGGAAGUUGGGGGUGCCUGAAGUCCGUUACCGUGAGGAACGGCCUAGGGCAAACUCAGUAACUAGGGC
rnacentral:rRNA from 1 species